UAGAAUUCUUAGUGGCGAACGGGUGAGUAACGCGUAGGCAACCUACCCUUUAGACGGGGACAACAUUCCGAAAGGAGUGCUAAUACCGGAUGUGAUCAUCUUGCCGCAUGGCAGGAUGAAGAAAGAUGGCCUCUACAAGUAAGCUAUCGCUAAAGGAUGGGCCUGCGUCUGAUUAGCUAGUUGGUGGGGUAACGGCCUACCAAGUCUACGAUCAGUAGCCGGACUGAGAGGUUGAACGGCCACAUUGGGACUGAGAUACGGCCCAGACUCC
rnacentral:rRNA from 1 species